UAACUGCCCAAGAGAUCGGGAUAACACCUGGAAACAGAUGCUAAUACCGGAUAACAACAGAUGAUGCCUAUCAACUGUUUAAAAGAUGGUUCUGCUAUCACUCUUGGAUGGACCUGCGGUGCAUUAGCUAGUUGGUAGGGUAACGGCCUACCAAGGCGAUGAUGCAUAGCCGAGUUGAGAGACUGAUCGGCCACAUUGGGACUGAGACACGGCCCAAACUCCUACGGGAGGCAGCAGAA
rnacentral:rRNA from 1 species